rnacentral:rRNA from 1 species
GAUGAACGCUGGCGGCGUGCCUAAUACAUGCAAGUCGAGCGAACAGAUGAGGAGCUUGCUCCUCUGACGUUAGCGGCGGACGGGUGAGUAACACGUGGAUAACCUACCUAUAAGACUGGGAUAACUUCGGGAAACCGGAGCUAAUACCGGAUAAUAUAUUGAACCGCAUGGUUCAAUAGUGAAAGACGGUUUUGCUGUCACUUAUAGAUGGAUCCGCGCCGCAUUAGCUAGUUGGUAAGGUAACGGCUUACCAAGGCAACGAUGCGUAGCCGACCUGAGAGGGGGAUCGGCCACACUGGAACUGAGACACGGUCCAGACGCCUACGGGAGGCAGCAGUAGGGAAUCUUCCGCAAUGGGCGAAAGCCUGACGGAGCAACGCCGCGUGAGUGAUGAAGGUCUUCGGAUCGUAAAACUCUGUUAUUAGGGAAGAACAAAUGUGUAAGUAACUAUGCACGUCUUGACGGUACCUAAUCAGAAAGCCACGGCUAACUACGUG